rnacentral:misc_RNA from 1 species
AAGUCGUAACAAGGUUUCCGUAGGUGAACCUGCGGAAGGAUCAUUACCAAAGUACAGCGGGCUUCGGCCCUGUCUGCACCCUUGUCUUUUGCGUACUAUUCGUUUCCUUGGUGGGCUUGCCCGCCAAAAGGACACUAUAAAACCACUUGUAAUAGCAAUCAGCGUCAGAAUAACUAUAAUAGUUACAACUUUCAACAACGGAUCUCUUGGUUCUG